rnacentral:rRNA from 1 species
AUUGAACGCUGGCGGCAGGCCUAACACAUGCAAGUCGAGCGGUGCGGCGGACGGGUGCGAAAUACAUAGGCAUGUACCUGACAGUGGGUGAUAACGUUGGGAACCGGACGCUAAUAACGCAUAAUAUCAGCUGAGCCUAGGUCGGGUUGGCUUGUUGUUGAGGUAAUGGCUCACCAAGGCUACGAUCCGUAACUGGUCUGAGAGGAUGAUCAGGCACACUGGAACUGAGACACGGUCCAGACUCCUACGGGAGGCAGCAGUGGGGAAUAUUGGACAGUGGGCGAAAGCCUGAUCCAGCCAUGCCGCGUGUGUGAAGAAGGGCUGCGGAUUGUAAAGCACUUUAAGUUGUGAGGCGUUACCGACAGAAUAAGCACCGGCUAACUCUGUGCCAGCAGCCGCGGUAAUAC